rnacentral:rRNA from 1 species
UGCGUAGGGUGCAAGCGUUAAUCGGAAUUACUGGGCGUAAAGCGUGCGCAGGCGGCUAUGCAAGACAGAUGUGAAAUCCCCGGGCUCAACCUGGGAACUGCAUUUGUGACUGCAUGGCUAGAGUACGGUAGAGGGGGAUGGAAUUCCGCGUGUAGCAGUGAAAUGCGUAGAUAUGCGGAGGAACACCGAUGGCGAAGGCAAUCCCCUGGACCUGUACUGACGCUCAUGCACGAAAGCGUGGGGAGCAAACAGG